rnacentral:lncRNA from 1 species
AACCUAGUGCAAUAGCAUUCUAGGAUUCAUAUAGCCGACUCAACUUAGUGGGAUAAGGCUUUUGUUGUUGUUGUUGUUAUUGUUAUAGUUUACACUACUCAUUAGUACGAAAAAUAGGUGGUCAUGAUUGAAUUGAAAUUUUUUUUUUCAACUGCCAAUCUAAUGAAUAAAAAGCACAGUAGUCCGGACUACUAAAGACAAACCUUACAAGAAUUUUGCAAAGUAAGUUAACAAACUGAGCCCUACUCUCCCGCCAUUUUGAAUCAUAUAGGCUGGGCUGCUAUGUCACUUGAUGGAUAUUGUACGAUGAUAUUGGAAUCCCAAGUAAAGCCAAGGAUAAUGGCCUUUUGUUUUCUUUUGUCUCACUUGAGGAUAAGGAUGCUUCCAACCUUACGCUGGUCUCACCCCACUAAAAAACUAACUUAAUCGGUUAGCCUACCGAAGUUUUUCUCCUUCUUAAUUUUUACCUUUGAGAUCUAUAUAUGUGAUAGGAGCAUAUUUAUGCGCCUUAGUUAGCUAGUUCUUAUGCAUCUUUGUUAUGUUUUCUUCGUUAAAGUAGUCUUUUAAGCUACUUUCAUGUGUUUUCAGGUUUAAAGGACAUAUUACAUGAAAUGAUGCAAUUUGGAGCUUUUGGAGCAAAAAGUGAGCUUGGAAUGAAAAGGACAUGCUUGGAACACAAGGUUGGGUUGAAAUUGAAGAGUUCGAGAUUUGAGGUUUCCUACUUGAAGUAGGAAAGCUAAGCCUAAAAGUUUCCAUUUUGGGUUGAUCUUUCCUAAAUCGGAAUUGGCAACCAAAGUUUCUAAAGUUGGAAGUUUCUAUUCUUGGAGGUUUCCAAUUUCGAGAGUUUCUAUUCUCGGCUUUGGGCUUUUGGAUGACCCAUCUUUGCCUCUUGGACCUAUGCCGCACCUAACCCUAACCCUAGCCCACUUAAUCAGCCGCACCUAGGCCUUGUUCACAUGAAAAAAAAUCUGAUUACUUACCCUAAGCCCAUGCCGCACCUAAUGUUCUAGAAACCCUAGUUUUUGGUGGAUUUCCUAACCCUAGCCGCACCUAAACCCUAGCCCAUUUGUCUAAUCUGAUUUCUUUAGGGUUUGGCUGCCUAUAUAUAUAUGUUUUACCUCCCUUGGCCGAAUCACAACCCUCUCCAUAAUCCAGAAAUUAAUCCUUCACGCCAGAAACCAUUCCCCAUCUUCAACAGCACCUAUCCUUCAUCAUUCACCAUAAUUU